rnacentral:rRNA from 1 species
AAUAGAUACCCAGGUAGUCCUAGCCGUAAACGAUGAACACUAGAUGUUGGUGGUAUCAACCCCGCCAGUGUCGUAGCUAACGCAUUAAGUGUUCCGCCUGGGGAGUACGGCCGCAAGGCUAAAAACUCAAAGGAAUUGACGGGGGCCCGCACAAGCAGCGGAGCGUGGGGUUUAAUUCGAUGCAACGCGGAGAACCUUACCAGGGCUUGACAUGACCAGGGAUCCGGCGGAAACGUCGGCGCCCCGCAAGGGGCCUGGCCACAGGUGUUGCAUGGCUGUCGUCAGCUCGUGUCACGAGAUGUUGGGUUAAGUCCCGCAACGAGCGCAACCCCUACUGUGUGUUGUAUCACUCACACGGGACUGCCGAGAGAAACUCGGAGGAAGGUGGGGAUGACGUCAAGUCAGCAUGGCCCUUACGGUCCUGGGGCUACGACCCACGCUACAAUGGCCGGUACAACGGGCUGCGAAACCGCGAGGUGGAGCUAAUCCCUUAAAGCCGGUCUCAGUUCGGAUCGUAGGCUGCACUCGCUGCGUGAAGCCGG